rnacentral:rRNA from 1 species
UUGAACGCUGGCGGAAUGCUUUACACAUGCAAGUCGAGCGGCAGCGCGGGGGCAACCCUGGCGGCGAGCGGCGAACGGGUGAGUAAUACAUUGGAACGUACCCAGUUGUGGGGGAUAGCCCGGCGAAAGCCGGAUUAAUACCGCAUAAGUCCUGAGGGAGAAAGCGGGGGACCGUAAGGCCUCGCGCGAUUGGAGCGGCCGAUGUUCGAUUAGCUAGUUGGUGGGGUAAAGGCCUACCAAGGCGACGAUCGAUAGCUGGUCUGAGAGGACGACCAGCCACACUGGAACUGAGACACGGUCCAGACUCCUACGGGAGGCAGCAGUGGGGAAUUUUGGACAAUGGGUGCAACCCUGAUCCAGCCAUUCCGCGUGAGUGAAGAAGGCCUUCGGGUUGUAAAACUCUUUCGGCAGGAACGAAACGGUGAGCUCUAACAUAGCUUGCUAAUGACGGUACCUGAAGAAGAAGCACCGGCUAACUACGU